UUGGUGUGUGUGCGGUUGCAAUUGGCUGUUUUGAGCCAUGUGUAUGUGUAAACAGCAUUGUAAGGUAUUGAACGUCCGUUAGAGCAAUAUAAGCCGAAAUAGAUUACUGAUUAGAUUCUUUAGAUCUUACACACGCUGUUGGGAGCUGGUUGCACUUAGUCAUGCAAUGCGUGGGCUCCUGAAGUCAGUUAAGGGAGCACUGAACGACCCGCACUGAACACGGCUAUCGGAGAAGAGCUUUACAUGGAAUCACUGUCUUCUUGUGGUAUCUGAAGCUUAGGGAAUUGAAGCAUUUAAAAAGAUUUCGUAGAGAUUGUGAAUUUUAGUAUGUCGUUGGGAUCAAACCCUUCUACACAAACACCUCCUGGAAACCCAACAUUUGUUCACCUGGAUUCGAAGCAUAAAUGUUGUGUUUGUAAAAAUGUUCUUCGAGAUGCAAUGCAGACAAGUUGUGGCCAUAGAUUAUGUCAAAACUGUAUCACUCCAUUAUUUGAAGGCAAGGAAGAACCUGUUGCAUGUCCAGCAAAUGAAGAAGACUGUGAUCGCCAACACAAAACUGACG
rnacentral:lncRNA from 1 species